rnacentral:tRNA from 1 species
GGGCCAUUAGCUCAGUUGGUAGAGCACCUGCUCUUAAUCAGGGUGUCGGGGGUUCGAGUCCCUCAUGGCCCACCA